rnacentral:rRNA from 1 species
GACGAACGCCUGGCGGCAGGGCUUAACACAUGCAAGUUCGCACGAGAACGCCCGGGCCUUGCCCGGGGCCAAGUACAGUGGCGGAACGGGGCGUAUCGCGUAGAUAACCUACCCUCAGAGGCGCGGGACAAUCCGCGGGAAACCGCGGCUAAUACCGCACGUCGUCCGGCCCCCGCAUGGGGGCGAGAUGAAAGCUCGGGUUCGCCCGGGCGCCUUCGGAUGGGUCUGCGUUGGAUUAGCUUGUUGGUGAGGCAACGGCUCACCAAGGCAACGAUCCAUAGCUGGUCUGAGAGGACGAUCAGUCACACUGGGACUGAGACACGGCCCAGACUCCUACGGGAGGCAGCAGUGGGGAAUCUUGCACAAUGGGGUCACCCCUGAUGCAGCCAUGCCGCGUGGAGGAAGACACCCCUAUGGGGCGUAAACUCCUUUUCUGAACGAAGAAACCCCUGUAGGUUCAGGGCGCGACGGUAGUUCAGGAAUAAGCACCGGCUAACUCCGUGCCAGCAGCCGCGGUAAUACGGAGGGUGCAAGCGUUGUCCGGAAUCACUGGGUGUAAAGGGUGCGCAGGCGGGGCAGCAAGUCGGAUGUGAAACCCCAUGGCUCAACCAUGGAGGUGCAUUCGAAACUGUUGCUCUUGAGUCCCGGAGAGGUUGCCGGAAUUCGUGGUGUAGCGGUGAAAUGCGUAGAUAUCACGAGGAACACCAGAGGCGAAAGCGGGCAACUGGACGGGUACUGACGCUCAGGCACGAAAGCGUGGGGAGCAAACAGGAUUAGAUACCCUGGUAGUCCACGCCGUAAACGAUGAACGUUCGCCGUUAUCCCGCCUGAGGGAUAGUGGCUAAGCUAACGCGUUAAGCGUUCCACCUGGGGAGUACGAUCGCAAGGUUGAAACUCAAAGGAAUUGACGGGGGCCCGCACAAGCGGUGGAGCAUGUGGCUCAAUUCGAUGCAACGCGAAGAACCUUACCUAGGCUCGAACGCUAGAGGACCGCUCUUGAAAGGGAGCUUCCCCUUUGGGGCCUGUAGCGAGGUACUGCAUGGCUGUCGUCAGCUCGUGUCGUGAGAUGUUGGGUUAAGUCCCGCAACGAGCGUAACCCUUGUCGUUAGUUACCAGCGGGUAGUGCCGGGGACUCUAGCGAGACCGCCUGCGCAAGCAGUGAGGAAGGUGGGGAUGACGUCAAGUCAUCAUGGUCCUUACGCCUAGGGCUGCACACGUGCUACAAUGGUCGGGACAACGAGCAGCCACCUCGCGAGAGGGAGCGAAUCUCUCAAACCCGAUCGUAGUUCGGAUUGGAGUCUGCAACUCGACUCCAUGAAGCAGGAAUCGCUAGUAAUCGCGGAUCAGCGAUGCCGCGGUGAAUUCGUUCCCGGGCUUUGUACGACACCGCCCGUCAAGCCUUGGAAGCUAAGAGCGCCCGAAGUCCGUGACUCGGCUCUAGCGUAAGCUAGAGGGAGAGCGGCCGAAGGUGAGCUUAGUGACUGGGGCU